GGGGGCUUUUGGGGCAGCGGAGUGACCCAAAAUGGGGCUUUUUAGACCCAAAUCCCAGCACAAAGUGGCCCAAUUUGGACUUUUCUGAGGCCAAAAUCCCAUCACAGAGACCUAAUUUGGACUAUUCUGAGGCCAAAAUCCAUCACAAAGACCCAAUUUGGACUUUUCUGAGGCCAAAAUCCAUCACAAAGACCCAAUUCUGGCUUUUCUGAGCCCAAAAUCCAUCACAAAGACCCAAUUUGGACUAUUCUGAGCCCAAAAUCCAUCCCAAAGAUCCAAACUGGAUGUUUCUGAGCCCAAAUUCAUCACAAAGACCCAAAUCUGGCUUUUCUGAACCCAAAAUCCCAUCACAAAGUGGCCUAUUCUGGCUUUUCAGAGCCCAAAAUGCAUCACAAAGACCCAAUUUGGACUAUUCCGAACCCAAAAUCCAUCACAAAGACCCCAAUUCUGGACUUAUCUGAGCCCAAAACAAUGAAGAAGGCCCCAAUUCUGGCUUUUUUGAGCCCAAAAUCCAUCACAAAGACCCAAUUCUGGCUUUUCUGAGCCCAAAAUCCCAUCGCAAAGACCCAAUUUGGACUAUUCUGAACCCAAAAUCCAUCACAAAGUGCCCAAUACUGGUUAUUCUGAGCCCAAAAUCCAUUACAAAGACCCAAUUCUGGCUUUUCUGAACCCAAAAUCCAUUACAAAGACCCAAUUCUGGCUUUUCUGAGCCCCAAAUCCAUCACAAAGUGCCCAAUUCUGGCUUUUUUGAGCCCAAAAUCCAUCACAAAGUGCCCAAUUCUGGCUUUUCUGAACCCAAAAUGCUCUUUUUUAACCUCCAAAUUCUGAUUUGGCCUGAAAAUGCACUUUUUUCACCUCAAAAACACACUUCUUUCACCCCCAAAUUCUGAGGUUUUGGCCCCAAAAUAACCCAUAGAAAUGUACUUUUUUUACCCCCUGAAUUCUCAGGAUUUUACCCCAAAUUGCACUUUUUUCACCCCCAAAUUCUGAGAUUUUGGCCCCAAAAACAACCUCUAAAAAUGCACUUAUUUCAACUCUGAAUUCUAAGGUUUUAGCCCCAAAAACGCACUUUUUCACCCCCAAAAAUGCACAUUUCUAACCCCCAAAUUCUGAGGAUUUGGCUCAAAAACAACCCCUAAAAAUGCCCUUUUUUCACCCCUAAUUUCAGAGGAUUUGACCCCAAAAAAGCAGCACCUAAAAUGCACUUUUUUCACCCCUAAAUU
ensembl:lncRNA